UAGUGUUAGCUCUUUUACAAUUUGUCUAGCAGAGCUAAGUGUGAUGGUAUACACCUAUAAUCCCAGCUCCCC
ensembl:snRNA U7 U7 small nuclear RNA